rnacentral:rRNA from 1 species
AACGAACGCUGGCGGCAUGCCUAACACAUGCAAGUCGAACGAGACCUUCGGGUCUAGUGGCGCACGGGUGCGUAACGCGUGGGAACCUGCCCUUAGGUUCGGAAUAACUCCCCGAAAGGGGUGCUAAUACCGGAUAAUGUCUUCGGACCAAAGAUUUAUCGCCUUUGGAUGGGCCCGCGUUGGAUUAGCUAGUUGGUAGGGUAAAAGCCUACCAAGGCGACGAUCCAUAGCUGGUCUGAGAGGAUGAUCAGCCACACUGGGACUGAGACACGGCCCAGACUCCUAAGGGAGGGAGCAGUGGGGAAUAUUGGACCAUGGGCGGAAGGCUGAUCCAGCAAUGCCGCGGGAGUGAUGAAGGGCUUAGGGUUGUAAAGCUCUUUUACCCGGGAUGAUAAUGACAGUACCGGGAGAAUAAGCUCCGGCUAACUCCGUG